rnacentral:rRNA from 1 species
UUAAGCGACCAAGCGUACACGGUGGAUGCCCUGGCAGUCAGAGGCGAUGAAGGACGUGCUAAUCUGCGAUAAGCGCCGGUAAGGUGAUAUGAACCGUUAUAACCGGCGAUGUCCGAAUGGGGAAACCCAGUGUGACUCGUCACACUAUCAUUAACUGAAUCCAUAGGUUAAUGAGGCGAACCGGGGGAACUGAAACAUCUAAGUACCCCGAGGAAAAGAAAUCAACCGAGAUUCCCCCAGUAGCGGCGAGCGAACGGGGAGGAGCCCAGAGCCUGAAUCAGCAUGUGUGUUAGUGGAAGCGUCUGGAAAGGCGCGCGAUACAGGGUGAGAGCCCCGUACACAAAAGCGCACAUGCUGUGAGCUCGAUGAGUAGGGCGGGACACGUGGUAUCCUGUCUGAAUAUGGGGGGACCAUCCUCCAAGGCUAAAUACUCCUGACUGACCGAUAGUGAACCAGUACCGUGAGGGAAAGGCGAAAAGAACCCCGGCGAGGGGAGUGAAACAGAACCUGAAACCGUGUACGUACAAGCAGUGGGAGCCUCUCUUUAUGGGGGGUGACUGCGUACCUUUUGUAUAAUGGGUCAGCGACUUAUAUUCUGUAGCAAGGUUAACCGCAUAGGGGAGCCGAAGGGAAACCGAGUCUUAACCGGGCGUUAAGUUGCAGGGUAUAGACCCGAAACCCGGUGAUCUAGCCAUGGGCAGGUUGAAGGUUGGGUAACACUAACUGGAGGACCGAACCGACUAAUGUUGAAAAAUUAGCGGAUGACCUGUGGCUGGGGGUGAAAGGCCAAUCAAACCGGGAGAUAGCUGGUUCUCCCCGAAAGCUAUUUAGGUAGCGCCUCGUGAAUUCAUCUCCGGGGGUAGAGCACUGUUUCGGCUAGGGGGCCAUCCCGGCUUACCAACCCGAUGCAAACUGCGAAUACCGGAGAAUGUUAUCACGGGAGACACACGGCGGGUGCUAACGUCCGUCGUGAAGAGGGAAACAACCCAGACCGCCAGCUAAGGUCCCAAAGUCAUGGUUAAGUGGGAAACGAUGUGGGAAGGCCCAGACAGCCAGGAUGUUGGCUUAGAAGCAGCCAUCAUUUAAAGAAAGCGUAAUAGCUCACUGGUCGAGUCGGCCUGCGCGGAAGAUGUAACGGGGCUAAACCAUGCACCGAAGCUGCGGCAGCGACACUUUAGUGUUGUUGGGUAGGGGAGCGUUCUGUAAGCCGUUGAAGGUGUCCUGUGAGGGGUGCUGGAGGUAUCAGAAGUGCGAAUGCUGACAUAAGUAACGAUAAAGCGGGUGAAAAGCCCGCUCGCCGGAAGACCAAGGGUUCCUGUCCAACGUUAAUCGGGGCAGGGUGAGUCGACCCCUAAGGCGAGGCCGAAAGGCGUAGUCGAUGGGAAACGGGUUAAUAUUCCCGUACUUGGUGUUACUGCGAAGGGGGGACGGAGAAGGCUAUGUUGGCCGGGCGACGGUUGUCCCGGUUUAAGCGUGUAGGCUGGUUUUCCAGGCAAAUCCGGAAAAUCAAGGCUGAGGCGUGAUGACGAGGCACCACGGUGCUGAAGCAACAAAUGCCCUGCUUCCAGGAAAAGCCUCUAAGCAUCAGGUAACAUCAAAUCGUACCCCAAACCGACACAGGUGGUCAGGUAGAGAAUACCAAGGCGCUUGAGAGAACUCGGGUGAAGGAACUAGGCAAAAUGGUGCCGUAACUUCGGGAGAAGGCACGCUGACACGUAGGUGAAGUGAUUUACUCACGGAGCUGAAGUCAGUCGAAGAUACCAGCUGGCUGCAACUGUUUAUUAAAAACACAGCACUGUGCAAACACGAAAGUGGACGUAUACGGUGUGACGCCUGCCCGGUGCCGGAAGGUUAAUUGAUGGGGUCAGCGCAAGCGAAGCUCCUGAUCGAAGCCCCGGUAAACGGCGGCCGUAACUAUAACGGUCCUAAGGUAGCGAAAUUCCUUGUCGGGUAAGUUCCGACCUGCACGAAUGGCGUAAUGAUGGCCAGGCUGUCUCCACCCGAGACUCAGUGAAAUUGAACUCGCUGUGAAGAUGCAGUGUACCCGCGGCAAGACGGAAAGACCCCGUGAACCUUUACUAUAGCUUGACACUGAACAUUGAGCCUUGAUGUGUAGGAUAGGUGGGAGGCUUUGAAGCGUGGACGCCAGUCUGCGUGGAGCCGACCUUGAAAUACCACCCUUUAAUGUUUGAUGUUCUAACGUGGACCCGUAAUCCGGGUUGCGGACAGUGUCUGGUGGGUAGUUUGACUGGGGCGGUCUCCUCCUAAAGAGUAACGGAGGAGCACGAAGGUUGGCUAAUCCUGGUCGGACAUCAGGAGGUUAGUGCAAUGGCAUAAGCCAGCUUGACUGCGAGCGUGACGGCGCGAGCAGGUGCGAAAGCAGGUCAUAGUGAUCCGGUGGUUCUGAAUGGAAGGGCCAUCGCUCAACGGAUAAAAGGUACUCCGGGGAUAACAGGCUGAUACCGCCCAAGAGUUCAUAUCGACGGCGGUGUUUGGCACCUCGAUGUCGGCUCAUCACAUCCUGGGGCUGAAGUAGGUCCCAAGGGUAUGGCUGUUCGCCAUUUAAAGUGGUACGCGAGCUGGGUUUAGAACGUCGUGAGACAGUUCGGUCCCUAUCUGCCGUGGGCGCUGGAAGACUGAGGGGGGCUGCUCCUAGUACGAGAGGACCGGAGUGGACGCAUCACUGGUGUUCGGGUUGUCAUGCCAAUGGCACUGCCCGGUAGCUAAAUGCGGAAAAGAUAAGUGCUGAAAGCAUCUAAGCACGAAACUUGCCCCGAGAUGAGUCUUCCCUGAGACUUUGAGUCUCCUGAAGGAACGUUAAAGACGAUGACGUUGAUAGGCCGGGUGUGUAAGCGCAGCGAUGCGUUGAGCUAACCGGUACUAAUGAACCGUGAGGCUUAACCUU